rnacentral:sRNA from 27 species
GUCAACGACCUAAGCGUUGAGUGCAAACCCCUAUAAGGCAAGGGCUUGCAGUUAACUCUAGUUGACCAGUUCAAGUCCAUUAAAGGGCUACGUUUACGACAAGCGUUUAAGAACUCACCUUGGGGUGCGUGCCAGCCCCAGGCUCUGAA